rnacentral:piRNA from 1 species
ACCGAAGACAGAAAACGCAGUGCACGGCCA